UAAUAUGUACAGAUAGUCCACUUGUGGUC
rnacentral:piRNA from 1 species